GGUCAAGUAGAAAAGGGCGCACGGUGAAUGCCUAGGCACUAACAGCCGAUGAAGGACGUGACGAACUACGAAAAGCUUCGGGGAGCGGUAAGUACGCAGUGAUCCGGAGAUGUCCGAAUGGGGGAACCCAAUGCAGCGAUGCAUUAUUGGUUGAUGAAUAGAUAGUCAAUCAAAGGAAGACGCAGUGAACUGAAACAUCUAAGUAGCUGCAGGAAGAGAAAGAAAAAUCGAUUUCCUUAGUAGCGGCGAGCGAAGAGGAAAGAGCCCAAACCAAGUGAUUUAUCAUUUGGGGUUGUAGGACUGCAAAGUGGUAGCGUAAGCGAUAGUUGAAUUAUCUGGGAAGGUAAGCCAGAGAGGGUGAGAGCCCCGUAAGCGAAAUUGCGAGCGCGCCUAGCAGAAUCCUGAGUAGGCCGGGACACGAGGAAUCCCGGUUGAAGCCGCGAGGACCAUCUCGCAAGGCUAAAUACUAGUUAGUGACCG
rnacentral:rRNA from 1 species